UGAUUAUAUGUGUGGGGGGGAGGGUAUUGGAGACCAGGGUAGAGCAUUUUCAUUUACCUUCUCUGCGCUUGUAAAUUUUAUGUGACAAUUUACACGGGUAUAUAGGUGUGUAGUGUGGAGAAAAGAAAGGUACAAAGGUACAAAGUAAAUAGAAAGGUACAAAUAGAAAGGUACAAAGUAAAUAUCCUAGUGACUCUAUCUUUUGAAGUAAAUGAAUACUGGCAUUUUCUUUGUCCUUCUGAAGAGAUACUGUUGAGUCGACUUCUGUUUUAGCCACAAAACUUUCCAACUGUAACAAACUAUAGAUUUGUUUACCUUGGAUAAAUAGAUGUUUGGUAAGGAAAACAGAUGGAAGUGACAGCCUUACUGGAUAACUGUAAAUAUGAGUGAGCAAAAUGAACAUAUAAAAAACAAAACAGAACAAAACAAAACCCCACCUGGAUUGGAUUGUCACAGGAGAGAAAUUAAAUGAGAAUUUUAAAAACAUAUUCCAUUCUACCACUAGGUGGCUCUGCUUGAUAGAAAAUUUUAGUGGUCAGCACACCAGAGUCUUUUUAAAAUUUUGCUACCUAUUGUGAGGCUAGAAAUGACCACGCCUGGGGUGUUUUUGAUCAGAGGACUGUUUGGUCAGGACGUGGGAAGUGUCACAAGAGAAAGGAUUGAUGAUUCAGCAACGUGGGGACUUGUUCCACACAGCAGCGCUGUGAUUUGGGGGCACCAAAUUAUUGGUAGGGGUGACUCAGAGGUGAUCAGCGAGUAGAGAACUUGACUGAGCCUGUGACUGAGACUUUACGCUUCUGUUGGAGUAGAUAGAAUAAUCUUUCAGAGCAGGGUAAAUACCACCCGUCUUCUCUCCCUCCAUGUUAACCAGAGGUCUUGUGCCUGUCAUCUUAAAUGCUUCCAGAGUGCAGACAUUUGUCACGGGCAGUCCCUGAGGCUGGAGCCUUGCAGGAAAAGACUGAUAGUAGAUGGUGAUCAGGGCAGUCAGAUGUUUGUCUUCUAGCCCCUUUUUCUGCUCCUUCCCUUAAACCUUAUCUGAAAGGUCGUCACCCUACAUCUCACACAUCACACCUCUGCAGUCUUAGCGAGGUAAACCUCGGCUCUGAUUCGGAAGUCCGUUUCUUAUUGAAGAUUUCAGUCAGCGUUACCAGUCCAAGUUUUUGCAUGUUAAAAAUUCAUCACUGGUUCAGAAAAAAUUCUAUCCCGUGUAAAUGAGGUCCCAGAUAUUAACAAGUAGAUGAAAGGGAAAAAAAUGCUAGCGGGAGCAUCACAAAAGCAAUUACAAAAGAAUAUUUUCUCUGCAUUUUAAUCUUACCUAAAAAUGAGUCAUGUGUAUGUUCAGCACAUGGCUCAGAUCACCACCAAAACCCUAUAAAUAUCUCAUGACUGUAUUUCUGAUGGGCACCCACAAGUGGCAUGGAACACCGGUGGUUUUUAUACAUCUGCCUCUUGGCUUUUGGAAUUAUUGGCAACAUAGAAGAAACUUAAUGUUGAGAACUAUAUGGUUGGGAAAGCAUCUUAGAAAUCACAUCUUUGAAAUAUUGAAAGGCUGGUCUUUGAAAUAAGCUCUAGGUCAUUUCUGCCUGUAAGACAAAAAGCCUUAACCCAUCUGGAGAGCUGCUUUAUGCUAAACUAUUGUUUUGAAGGGGAAUGUCUACAUUCCUCUGUUGGUCCGGAACUGUUCGGCUUUAAUUCACAGGACAGCCGUCAGGCCUUACGUCAUUCCCUCUCAGUGAAGCCAGCACCAGCAUUAAGAACCAGCAAUGGCAAGUCCCAAGGCUUUGGUGCCGCAGAUAAUUUCUGACUGCUGCAAAGAGGAGUAAAAUAUUGUAAAGCAAAUCUAAUUUUUAGUCACUGAAAAGUCAGAAAGGUCCAAAGCACUCAGAACAAAGUCUGUCACAAAACAAGCUCUCAAUAAGUAUUGGUAUUCUUAUUAUUAACUUAACAUUGAUAUACAUAAAUUGACUGCCUUUUGGGCUAGUGAGCUUGUGUCCAAAGGCCCAGGCCCACCCACAGGACUGGUUGGGGCAUUGUUUUUUUUUUUAAAGCUGUAUAUUUUAGAGCAGUUUUAGGUUUACAGCAAAACUGAGCAGAAAGUACAGAGAGUUCUAAUACCCCCACACAUCCACAGCCUCCUCGGCUGUUGGCAUCCCACACCACAAUGGUACAUUUGUCACAAUCAGUUAACCUACUUUGGUACAUCAUUGCCCCCAAAGUUCCCCAUUGGCUUUUAGCUCUGUGACUCAUCCUUCCUCUACCAUUUAAGCAGUGUACAAGUGACUGCAAUGCUUCAGAAAGUGUGUAACAGUCACUGAAGAUUGAACUUAGUAGAAAACACACUUCUCCAUCCUCUUGCUAAACUAAGACUUCUGGACUCUAUUUAAUAAAGGGCUCAAUCCCUGUUGAUGCUAGAAAGACACCCUGACGCAAAACCUCUUAGGCAUAAAGUCCAUGUACUUCUGGAAAAAGGAGUCGAUCUGGUCACCAUCCUACACUUAAUGCACCACAUUGGAUACAAAGACUUUUCUUGUUAGGGUCCAUCAUCUCCGGCCUUUCAGAACUUUCCCCAUGUAUCCCAUUGGCAAGCCAUUGUUCAUUACUUUGCCCUGUAAUGUCCUCGUUGAAUGGACAUUUUCUUUUAUGCUGUGGAACCUAAAAUCUAGCACAGAUUUUAAUAAAUGCCAGAGACAUACCGAGCACUAUGGGAAGUUUAUACUAUGGUUUUUGUAUCUUUAAAAAAUCCAUAAGAAAAGACACAAAGGAAUUGUGGAGGAGGGAGAGUUUUAUAUUCUUAUUUCCUUAUUGUGAUUUCCUUAGCAUUUUCUCCUAAUUCGUAUUGGUUCUGUGCUAGGCAGUGUAAGAGGUAGUGGGAAGAGUGUUAGUGGAAGUCAUGUCCAAGGGGUGUGGCAAGGCUGUGGGAGAGGUCUGCCCUAGAGUUGAAGAGAAUUUCAUCACUGACACGGUUCAUCUUUGCCAGCCCAUGGUGACCACAAAAAGCAGAUCUAUUGAGUUGGUUUUAUUAUUGUUU